rnacentral:rRNA from 1 species
CCCUGGCUGUAUGACCAUUCUAACCCGCCACGCUUAGCGCGUGGGGAGACAGUGUCAGGUGGGCAGUUUGACUGGGGCGGUCGCCUCCUAAAGAGUAACGGAGGCGCCCAAAGGUUCCCUCAGAAUGGAUGGAAAUCAUUCGCAGAGUGUAAAGGCACAAGGGAGCUUGACUGCGAGACUGACAAGUCGAGCAGGGACGAAAGUCGGGCUUAGUGAUCCGGUGGUUCCGCAUGGAAGGGCCA